rnacentral:rRNA from 1 species
UACGUAGGGGGCAAGCGUUGUCCGGAAUUAUUGGGCGUAAAGCGCGUGUAGGCGGCCCGGUAAGUCCGCUGUGAAAGUCCAGGGCUCAACCCUGGAAUGCCGGUGGAUACUGUCGGGCUCGAGUCCGGAAGAGGCGAGUGGAAUUCCUGGUGUAGCGGUGAAAUGCGCAGAUAUCAGGAAGAACACCCGUGGCUAAGGCGGCUCUCUAGUACGGUACUGACGCUGAGACGCGAAAGCGUGGGGAGCGAACAGGG